UUUCCAGACUCCUACGGGAGGCAGCAGUAGGGAAUUUUCGUCAAUGGGCGCAAGCCUGAACGAGCAAUGCCGCGUGAGUGAGGAAGGUCUUCGGAUCGUAAAGCUCUGUUGCGGGGGAAAAAGGACAGGAAGAGGAAAUGCUUUCUGUUUGAUGGUACCCCGCCAGAAAGUCACGGCUAACUACGUGCCAGCAGCCGCGGUAAUACGUAGGUGGCGAGCGUUAUCCGGAAUGAUUGGGCGUAAAGGGUGCGCAGGCGGCAUGUCAAGUCUGAAGUGAAAGGUACGGGCUUAACCUGUACAGGCUUUGGAAACUGGCAUGCUAGAGGACAGGAGAGGGCGGUGGAACUCCAUGUGUAGCGGUAAAAUGCGUAGAUAUAUGGAAGAACACCAGUGGCGAAGGCGGCCGCCUGGACUGUUGCUGACGCUCAGGCACGAAAGCGUGGGGAGCAAAUAGGAUUAGAUACCCGAGUAGA
rnacentral:rRNA from 1 species